UGACCUCACAAGUGGGAAUUCUGACUGUUGGUAAGCCUCUCCAGCCUCACGACUUUAAAGAUGGAAACAGAGGGGGUUCCAUAGUCCUGAAUGCAGAGCUGAUGCCAGCGGGAUAUAUCCUCUUCCCACGGGACAGCAGUGCCUUCCACUGCCCAGGGGCAGAAGCAACACAGAACUCGUGUAGCAGGGCUGGAAAGACAGCUCUAAUAGUUGACAGCACUGGCAGCUCUCCCAGAGCACCCAGGUUCAAUUCCCAGCAACCACGGCAACUCGCAGCCAUCUUUAACUCCAGGCGCAUGGGAUCCGAUAACAUCUUCUGGCCUCUGCAUUCACUGCACAGAUGUGGUGCACAGGCAUAUGUGCAGGGAAAACACUAAUUAAAAUAAAAACAAAUGAGUCUUUUAAGAGGUCAA